rnacentral:lncRNA from 14 species
AUGAAGCUUUCAAAACCAUGUGUCAAAGUCAUUCUUCCCCACAAAGAAACAAAAAAAUGUGGGGAAAAACAUCUAAAGGAGAAGAAUGUCCCCUCAGGAUCAGCAUUUCUUCACUUCAACAGGACACAUUGGCUAUCUCUGGUACAGCUUUUGAGAAAUGGAGCAGCAACACCUAAUUCACUGUCCAGAAGUACACUUGGAUCAGAAACUUUGGCGAAAUUUUCUAGAUGAAAAUCUCAUCCAUCUGAGAACAUCCUGAGUUACCUGGUGCUUGGGGAGCUCAUAUGGGACCAUAGACCUGGAUCCCCAAAUGUCAUCUGGGAUCCUUGGGCGUCUCACUCCUAUUUAGAUAUUUCUCAUUGGUUAAUAGGAGGUAAGUGUCUGAGUA